ACCCGACUACACGAAGCUGGAAUCGCUAGUAAUCGCGAAUCAGAAUGUCGCGGUGAAUACGUUCCCGGGUCUUGUACACACCGCCCGUCACACCAUGGGAGUCGGGAAUGCCCGAAGUCAGUGACCCAACCUUUGGAGGGAGCUGCCGAAGGCAGGUCUGAUAACUGGGGUGAAGUCGUAACAAGGUAGC
rnacentral:rRNA from 1 species